AUUGAACGCUGGCGGCAUGCUUUACACAUGCAAGUCGAACGGUAACAGGCCGCAAGGUGCUGACGAGUGGCGAACGGGUGAGUAAUGCAUCGGAACGUGCCCAGUCGUGGGGGAUAACUACUCGAAAGAGUAGCUAAUACCGCAUACGAUCUAUGGAUGAAAGCGGGGGACCGUAAGGCCUCGCGCGAUUGGAGCGGCCGAUGUCAGAUUAGGUAGUUGGUGGGGUAAAGGCUCACCAAGCCAACGAUCUGUAGCUGGUCUGAGAGGACAACCAGCCACACGGGGAGUGAGACACGGCCCAGCCUCCAAGGGGGGGAAGAGGGGGGGAUUUUGGGAAAAGGGGCGCAAGCCGAACCCAGCAAUGCGGCGGGAGGAAAGAGGCCUUUGGGUUUGUAAACUGUUUUUGUACGGAAGAAACCGCCUUUGUUUAAUCCCGGGGGAAAAGGAGGGUACCGAAAAAAAAAGCCCCGGCUAACUACGUG
rnacentral:rRNA from 1 species